UGGGGAAUAUUGCACAAUGGGCGCAAGCCUGAUGCAGCCAUGCCGCGUGUAUGAAGAAGGCCUUCGGGUUGUAAAGUACUUUCAGCGGGGAGGAAGGGAGUAAAGUUAAUACCUUUGCUCAUUGACGUUACCCGCAGAAGAAGCACCGGCUAACUCCGUGCCAGCAGCCGCGGUAAUACGGAGGGUGCAAGCGUUAAUCGGAAUUACUGGGCGUAAAGCGCACGCAGGCGGUCUGUCAAGUCGGAUGUGAAAUCCCCGGGCUCAACCUGGGAACUGCAUUCGAAACUGGCAGGCUAGAGUCUUGUAGAGGGGGGUAGAAUUCCAGGUGUAGAGGUGAAAUGCGUAGAGAUCUGGAGGAAUACCGGUGGCGAAGGCGGCCCCCUGGACGAAGACUGACGCACAGGUGCGAAAGCGGGGGGAGCAAACAGG
rnacentral:rRNA from 1 species